AGUGAACGCUGGCGGUAGGCCCAACACAUGCAAGUCGAACGGCAGCACAGUAAGAGCUUGCUCUUACGGGUGGCGAGUGGCGGACGGGUGAGGAAUACAUCGGAAUCUACUUUUUCGUGGGGGAUAACGUAGGGAAACUUACGCUAAUACCGCAUACGACCUACGGGUGAAAGCAGGGGAUCUUCGGACCUUGCGCGAUUGAAUGAGCCGAUGUCGGAUUAGCUAGUUGGCGGGGUAAAGGCCCACCAAGGCGACGAUCCGUAGCUGGUCUGAGAGGAUGAUCAGCCACACUGGAACGGAGACACGGUCCAGACUCCUACGGGAGGCAGCAGUGGGGAAUAUUGGACAAUGGGCGCAAGCCUGAUCCAGCCAUACCGCGUGGGUGAAGAAGGCCUUCGGGUUGUAAAGCCCUUUUGUUGGGAAAGAAAAGCAGCAGGUUAAUACCCCGCUGUUCUGACGGUACCCAAAGAAUAAGCAACGGCUAACUUCGUG
rnacentral:rRNA from 1 species